rnacentral:rRNA from 1 species
CCUACGGUGUGCUGCAGUUGGGAAUAUUGGGCAAUGGGCGCAAGCCUGACCCCGCAACGCCGCGUGAAGGAAGAAGGCUUUCGGGUUGUAAACUUCUUUUCUCAGGGACGAAGCAAGUGACGGUACCUGAGGAAUAAGCCACGGCUAACUACGUGCCAGCAGCCGCGGUAAUCCGUAGGUGGCAAUCGUUCUCCGGAUUUACUUGGUGUAAAGGGCGUGUAGGCGGGGACGCAAGUCAGAUGUGAAAACCACGGGCUCAACCUUUGGCCUGCAUUUGAAACUGUGUUUCUUGAGUACUGGAGAGGCAGACGGAAUUCCUAGUGUAGCGGUGAAAUGCGUAGAUAUUAGGAGGAACACCAGUGGCGAAGGCGGUCUGCUGGACAGCAACUGACGCUGAGGCGCGAAAGCGUGGGGAGCAAACAGGAUUAGAUACCCUUGUAGUC